UAGAACUACGUUUUACUAUCAGACCCAAAGUGUUACUGAGGGGAAUCUACAGCGUCUUGAGCUGAAUUAAGACUUCAGAAGUCAUUCGUCAUGUUGAAUGACCAGCGGAUAAACUCUCAGGUGAAGAGCCUGAGGCCGGUGACAGUCCAGUUCUACUCUAAGUCGGGGCUCGCAAAAUUUCAAAAUCUCUGGUAGCCCUUCGGGUAGGCACUCUUCAGUUUUUGGUAGCCCAAAAUAAAUGUGAAGAGCCUGAGGCCGGUGACAGUCCAGUUCUACUCUAAGUCGGGGCUCGCAAAAUUUCAAAAUCUCUGGUAGCCCUUCGGGUGAAAAGCCUGAGGCCGGUGACAGUCCAGUUCUACUCCAAGUACAUCCUUACGGUGGCUCACGGGACAAGGCUACAUUCCUGUCCUGCCAGAAGAGAAGAGAAACUUCAGAGUCUUCAUGCAGUUCAACCACACCUGUCAUAUUCCGUAUGACAGGGGUCUCAAACUCCAGUCCUCGAGGGCCGGUGUCAUGCAACUUUUCCAUGUGUCCCUGGUGCAACACACCUGAAUACAAUUAGUAGGUCAUUAGCAAGAGUGUAGAACUUGACUGCAUGCUGAGGUGGCAACCCCUAACCCUACCUACUCGAUUAAAUUUAAGUAAAUAUAUGUAUUUGGAAACAUAUACUUCUAAAAUACUUUUAUUGCACCAUGUUCAUUCACUCAUGAGCUGCUGUAACGUGAAUCAAAUGGCUGAAUUGCCAACUCGGCAUGCAUUCAAGUUCUAUACUCUUGCUAAUGACCUACUAGGUGUGUUGCAACAGGGACACAUGGAAAAGUUGCAGGACAGCGGCCCUCGAGCGGCCCUCGAGGACUGGAGUUUGAGAUGGUGUUCAUGCAGUUUUCUACCCCACAGUUACAGCAUGUCUGACUGCCUGUUCAGCAUAUGGAAAAAUAUAUGAUGAGUUUAAGCAUGUGAUGACAAAGGCCUUCCAUUGUGGUGUUUGUCAUCACAUGUCACAGACAUCUGGAUGAUCAUAU